CUGUCUUUCUCAGCCUUUUGACUAGGAUCACUUGUAGUAUCUGUUCUUAUCAGUUUAAUAUCAGAUUGUCAUCUGUCUGGGAACCAUAUAUUAUAUGGAUAUCUUGGACAGGGAGAUGGAAGAAGAGCUUGCUCAAGCCACUCCACACAUUGGCCUAGUAUUGCUGUUCCUUCAGGAAUGGUACUCCACUC